rnacentral:rRNA from 1 species
GGCUACGAGGACGAACGCUGGCGGCGUGCUUAACACAUGCAAGUCGAACGAGAGGACAUGAGAAGCUUGCUUCUUAUGAAAUCGAGUGGCAAACGGGUGAGUAACGCGUAUCCAACCUGCCCACCACUUGGGAUAACCUUGCGAAAGUAAGACUAAUACCCAAUGACGUCCAUAGAAGACAUCUGAAGUGGAUUAAAGAUUUAUCGGUGAUGGAUGGGGAUGCGUCUGAUUAGCUUGUUGGCGGGUAACGGCCCACCAAGGCGACGAUCAGUAGGGGUUCUGAGAGGAAGGUCCCCCACAUUGGAACUGAGACACGGUCCAAACUCCUACGGGAGGCAGCAGUGAGGAAUAUUGGUCAAUGGGCGAGAGCCUGAACCAGCCAAGUAGCGUGCAGGAUGACGGCCCUAUGGGUUGUAAACUGCUUUUAUAAGGGAAUAAAGUGGAGGUCGUGACCUCUUUUGCAUGUACCUUAUGAAUAAGGACCGGCUAAUUCCGUG